AGUAACGCGUGAGUAACCUGCCUUUCAGAGGGGGAUAACGUUCUGAAAAGAACGCUAAUACCGCAUGAGACUACAGAGCUGCAUGGCUCAGUGGUCAAAGGAGCAAUCCGCUGAAAGAUGGACUCGCGUCCGAUUAGAUAGUAGGCGGGGUAACGGCCCACCUAGUCGACGAUCGGUAGCCGGACUGAGAGGUUGACCGGCCACAUUGGGACUGAGACACGGCCCAGACUCCUACGGGAGGCAGCAUG
rnacentral:rRNA from 1 species